rnacentral:lncRNA from 1 species
GCAGGUGGUACAGCCAUGUCCAGCUGGUGAUUACGGUCUGUCCAGGAGGGGGUUUCGGCGUGUCUGGUAUGUGGCUAUGGAAUGUCUCAGAGGUGGUUCUGGCAUGACCAGCAUGUGAUUCUGGUGUUUCCGCCAAGUGGUUCUGGGGUAUCCGGCAGGUGAUUUUGGCAUGUCCGGCAGGUGAUUCUGGCAAGUCGAGCAUGUGGUUCUGGCAUGCUCGGCAGCUGUUUCCGGUGUGUCUGACAGGUGGUUCCGAUCUGACCGGGAGGUGGUUCCAGCGUCUCUGGCACGUGGUUCUGGCACGUCUGAGAGGUGGUUCCAGCAUGCCCGGAAUGUGAUUCCGUAGUGUCUGUCAAGUGGUUCCAGCAUACUCGGCAGGUGAUUUUGGCGUGUUCGGCCGGUGGUUCUGUGUAGUCGAGCAUGUGUUUCGGGCGUGCUCAGCACGUGGUUGAGGCAUGUCCGGCAGGUGGUUCCGGUCUGUCCGGAGGCAGUUGCAGCGUGCCUGGCACGUGGUUCUGGCACGGCUGAGAGGUGGUUCCGGCAUGCCUGGCAUGUGAUUCCGGAGUGUCCACCAAGUGGUUCUGGCGUAGCUGGCAGGUGAUUUUGGCGUGUCCAGCAGGUGGUUCUGGGGAGUGGAGCAGGUGGUUCCGGCAUACUCGGCAGGUGGUUGCGGCGUGUCCGGCAGGUGUUUGCCGUCUGUCCAUGACGUGGUUCCAGCAUGCCCGCAAGGUGAUUCCGGAGUGUCCACCAAGUGGUUUUGGCGUAUCCGGCGUAUGAUUUUGGCCUGUAAGGCAGGUGGUUCCGGAGAGUUCGGCAGGUGCUUCCGGUCUCUCCGGCACGUGGUUGUGGCACCUCUGAGAGGUGGUUCCAGAAUGCCCGGCAGGUGAUUCCGGAGUGUCCGACAAGUGGUUGUGGCGUAGCCGGCUGGUGAUUCUGGCGUGUCCGGCAGGUGGUUCUGGCGAGUCAAGCAGGUGGUCCCGGCGUGUCCGGCAGCUGGUUCCGGUCUGUCCUGGAGGUGGUUCCGGAGUGUCUGCCGAGUGGUUCUGGCGUAGCCGGCAGGUGAUUCUGGCGUGUCCAGCAGGUGGUUCUGGGGAGUGGAUCAGGUGGUUCCGGCAUACUAGGCAGGUGGUACCGGCGUGUCCGGAACAUGGUUCUGGCAAGCCUGAUAGGUGGUUCCGGCAUGCCCGACAGGUGAUUCCGGAGUGUCCGCCACGUGGUUCUGGCGUACCCGGCAGGUGAUUUUGGCGUGUCUGGCAGGUGUUUCUUGCAAGUCGAGCAUGUGGCUCAGGCAUGCUCAGCACGUGCUUCCGGCGUGUCCGGCACGUGGUUCUGGUGUGUCUGAGAGCUGGUUCUGGCAUGUCCGGCAGAUGAUUCCGGAGUGUCCGCCAAGUGGUUCUGGCGUACCCGGCAGGUGAUUUUGGCGUGUCAGGUAGGUGGUUCCGGCGAGUCAAGCAGGUGGUUCCGGCGUGCUUGGCAGGUGGUUCAGGCGGUUCUGGCAGGCGGUUUCCGUCUGUUUGGGUUGUGGCUCCGGCAUCUCAUGCACAUGGUUCUGGCACGUCUGAGAUGUGGUUCCGGCCGGCCCGACAGGUGUUUGGGCAGUGUCCGCCAAGCAGUUCUGGUGUAGUUGGCAGGUGAUUUUGGCAUGACCGGCAGGUGGUUCCAGCAAGCCCGGCCCGUGAUAACGAAGUGUUCACCAACUGGUUGUGUCGCAGCCGGCAGGUGAUUUUUGCGUGUCUGGCAGGUGGUUCUGGCGAGUCGAGCAGGUGGUUCCAGCGUGCUCGGCAGGUGCUUCCGGGGUCAUUGGCACGUGGUUCUGGCAUGUCUGAGAGGUGGUUCUGGCAUGCCCGGCCGGUGAUUCCGGAGUGUUUGCCAAGUGCUUCUCGCAUAGACUUCAGGUGAUUUUGUAUGUCUGGCAUUGGUUCCGGAGGGUCGAGCCGGUGGUUCCUGCAUGCUCGACCGUUGGAUCUGGCAGGUCCGGCAGGUGGUUCCGGUCUGUCCGGGAGGUGGUUCCGGCGUGUCUGGCAUAUGGUUCCGGCACGUCUGAGAGGUGGUUCUAUCAUGCCCGGCAGGUGAUUCCAGAGAGUCCACCAACUCGUUCUGGCGUAGCCGGCAGGUGAUUUUUGCGUGUCCAGCAUGUGGUUCUGGCGAGUCGAGCAGGUGGUUCCGGCGUGCUCGGCAGGUGCUUCCGGGGUCAUUGGCACAUGGUUCUGGCAUGUGUGAGAGGUGGUUCCGGCAUGCGCGGCAUGUGGUUCCGGCGUGUCUGGCAGGUGCUUCUGGUCUGUCCGGGUGCUGGUUCCGGCAUGGCCGGCACGUGGUUCUGGCACAUCUGUGAGGUGCUUCAGGCGUGCCUGGCAGGUGAUUCCUGGGUGUCUGCCAAGUGGUUCUGGCGUCACCGGCAGGUUAUUUUGGUGUGUCCGGCAGGUCUUUCCUGCUUUUUGCGCUCAUGGCUCUGGCUUGUAAGACAGAUGCUUGUGGCACUUCUGGCCCCCGUUCUUUCAUACUCAGCUGGUUUCAGAGUUUCUGGCUCCUGUUUGUGGCAUAUCCAACAGGUGUUUACAAUGUGUCUGGCAUGUCGUUGUGCUAUGUUUGGAAUCUGGUUCCGUCAUGUCAUUGUGUGCGGCUGGCAUGUUGAAGAGAUGGUUCUGCAGUGUCAGAAUCACUGUUCCACUGUGUCCGGCAGGUGGUUACAGGUGGUUCUGGCAUGCAACGUGCGUGCUUCUGGUAUGCCUGUUGGGUCAUACUGGCAUGAAUGUGUGGCCCUUUGAGAGUGUGCAGAGGGUGUUUUUGGCAUGUCUCCCGGGGUUUUCUGGCACAUAAGGGGCAUGAUUCCUUUUUAUACGUCAGGUGAGUUUGCUCUCAGCUUCCUAAAGAGAAGGAAGGAAGAUGGUCUGUGGCUUGUGGCCCCUUGAGGGGUGGGGCCAAUGCAUUGUGCAUUGCAAUCUAGAGCAAUGGAGGGUAUGGCUGAGAGCAAAAGGGUCUUUCUGACAUAGCUGCAUUCUGACACUCUCUCCACCAGUGCACAAUGGUGUUUGGAAAAAGGCUUACAGUCUGUCGCCUCCUGAGCAGGUGGAUGCUAAAUCAUUUGGGACUCAGCCCAGUUGCUUCAGGGGAAGAUGUAGGCAUUUCGUCUGAGCAAGGUUGGCAAGGUAGAACUGCGGCAGAAGCAGAAGUCCUAAAGCGGCGAGUUAAGCGCUGGGAAGAAAUGGCAUUUGAGCUGACUUUGUAUGAGAGAUUCCUCGUAUGUUGUACAACACUGUGGAAAGCGAGUUCUUUCUCAGCUUCCUAAAGAGCUGGAGGCAAGACAGUUUAUGGCUUCUCUCUCAUUGAAGGAUUGAGGCAGUGCUUUGUGCCUUCCACCUGCAGAGCAAUGGAGGGCACGGCUGAGAGCAAAGGGGGCUUUCUGCCAUUGGUGCUUUCUGAUACCCUUCAGGGGUGGUGCCAGUGCCUUGUGCCUCCUACCUCUAGAGGAAUGGAGGGCAAGACCAAGAGUAAAGGGACUUUCUGAAAUUGGUGGUUUCUGACACUGCCCCAACCAUUGCUCAAGGGCGGUUGGUUAAAAGCCUAUUGUCUGUCUCCUCCUCAGCAUGUGGAACCACAAUCAUCCGGGCCUCGUCCCCAUUGCUCAAGGGGAAGAUGUAGGCAUUUCGUCUGAGCCGGGUUGGCAAGGUGGAAAUGCGGCAGAAGCGGAUGUUGCAGAUUGGCGAGUUAAGGGCUGAAAAGACACGGCAUUCAGGUGCCUUUUAUGAGAUGUUCCCAGGAUGCUGUAAGAGCACUGUGGAAUGCGCGUGCUUUCCCAGCUUCCUAAAGAGCUGGAAGCAGGACAGUUGAUGGCUUGUCUCCAAUUGAAGGAUGGAGGCAGUGCUUUGUGCCUUCCACCUCUGGAGCAACGGAGGGCACGGCUGAGAGCAAAGGGCCCUUUCUGACAUAGGUGCAUUCUGACAAUCUCUGCACCAGUGCACAAUUGCGGUUUGUAAAAAGCCUAUUGUCUGCUCCUGCUAAGCAUGUGGAAGCACAAUCAUCUGGGCCUCGUGCCCGUUGCUGAAGGGGAAGAUGUAGGCAUUUCGUCUGAGCCGGGUUGCCAAGGUGGAAAUGUGCAGCAUGCAGAUGUCCCAGACUGGCGAGUGAAGUGCUGAAGGAAAUGACGUUCAGCCUCCUUUGUAUGAGAUGUUCCCAGGACGCUGUAAGGGCACUGUGGAAAGGGAGUUUUUCUCAGCUUCCUAAAGUGCUGGAAGCAGGACAAGAUGUGGUUUGUCUCCCAUUGAGGGGUGGAUCAAGAGCCAGUGCCUUGUGCCUUCCACCUCUAGAGCAAUGAAGGGCACGGCUGUGAGCAAAGGGGCCUUUCUGACAUAGCUUCUUUAUGAAAAUCUCUCCAGCAGUGCACAUUGGUGGUUGGAAAAAGGUGUACAGUCUAUCGCCUCCUAAGCACGUGGACGCUCAAUCAUUUGGGACUCAGCCCAGUUGCCUCAGGGGAAGAUGUAGGCAUUUCGUCUGAGCCGGGUUGGCAAAGUCGAAUUGCGGCAGAAGCAGAAGUCCUAAAGCUUCGAGUUAAGCACUGGGAAGAAAUGGCGUUUGAGCUGCCUUUGCAUGAGAGGUUCCUGGUAUGCUGUAACAGGACUGUGGAAAGCGAGUUGUUCGUCAGCUUCCUAAAGAGCUGGAGGCAAGACAAUUUAUGGCUUGUCUCCCAUUGAAGGAUGGAGGCAGUGCUUUGUGCCUUCCACCUGCAGAGCAAUGGAGGGCACGGCUGAGAGCCAAGGGGGCUUUCUGCCAUAGGUGCUUUCUGAUACACUUCAGGUGUGGUGCCAGUGCCUUGUGCCUCCUACCAUGAGAGGAAUGGAGGGCACGGCCGAGAGUAAAGGGCCUUUCUGACAUUGGUGCUUUCUGACACUACCCCAACCACUGCUCAUGGGCGGUUGGUUAAAAGCCUAUUGUCUGUCUCCUCCUCAGCAUGUGGAACCACAAUCAUCCGGGCCUUGUCCCCAUUGCUCAAGGGGAAGAUGUAGGGAUUUCGUCUGAGCCGGGUUGGCAAGGUGGAACUGCGGCAAAAGCAGAAGUCCUAAAGCGGCGAGUUAAGCGAUGGGAAGAAAUGGUGUUUGAGCUGCCUUUGUAUGAGAGUUUCCUCGUAUGCUGUACAGCACUGUGGAAAGCGAGUUCUUUCUCAGCUUCCUAAAGAGCUGGAAGCAAGAGAGUUUAUGGCUUGUCUCCCAUUGAAGGAUGGAGGCAGUGCUUUGUGCCUGCCACCUGCAGAGCAAUGGAGGGCACGGCUGAGAGUAAAGUAAAGGGAUCUUUCUGCCAUUGGUGCAUUCUGACACUCUCUGCACCAGUGCACAAUGGCAGUUUGUAAAAAGCCUAUUGUCUGCUCUUGCUAAACAUGUGGAGGCACAAUCAUCUGGGCCUCGUCCCCGUUGCUGAAGGGGAAGAUGUAGGCAUUUUGUCUGAGCGGGGUUGGCAAGGUGGAAAUCUGGCAGAAGCAGAAGAUCUAAAUCCGCGAGUUAAGCGCUGAAAAGAAACGGCAUAUCAGCUGCCUUUGUAUGAGAUGUUGCCAGGACACAGAAAGAGCACUGUUGAAAGCGAGUUCUUUCUCAGCUUCCUAAAGAGAUGGAAGGAAGAUGGUCUGUGGCUUGUCACCCCUUGAGGGGUGGAGCCAGUUAAUUGUGCAUUCCACGUCUAGAGCAAUGGAGGGCAGAGCUGAGAGCAAAGGGGUCUUUCUGACAUAGCUGCUUUCCAACACUCUCUCCAACAGUGCACAAUGGUGGUUGUAAAAAGGCGUGCAGUCUAUCACCUCCUAAGCACGUGGACGCUCAAUCAUUUGGGACACAGCCCAGUUGCUUCAGGGCAAGAUGUAGGCAUUUCGUCUCGCCGGGUUGGCAAGGUGGAAUUGCGGCAGAAGCAGAAUUCCUAAAGCGGCGAGUUAAGCACUGGGAAGAAAUGGCGUUUGAGCUGCCUUUGUACGAGUGUUUCCUCGUAUGCUUUAACAGCACUGUGGAAAGCGAGUUCUUUCUCAGCUUCCUAAAGAGCUGGAAGCAAGACAUUUUAUGGCUUGUUUCCCAUUGAAGGAUUGAGGCAUUCCUUUGUGCCUUCCUGCUCUAGAGCAAUGGAGGGCACUGCUGAGAGUAAAGGGGUCUUUCUGCCAUUGGUGCUUUCUGACACUCUCUCAACCAUUGCACUUGGUGGUUAGUUAAAAGCCUAUUGUCUCUCUCCUCCUCAGCAUGUGGAACCACAAUCAUCCGGGCCUCGUCCCCAUUGCUCAAGGGGAAGAUGUAGGCAUUUCGUCUGAGCCCGGUUGGCAAGGUGGAAUUGUGGCAGAAACAGAAGUUCUAAAGUGGUGAGGUAAGGUCUGGCAAGAAAGGCCGUUUGACCUUCAUUUCUAUGACAGUUUCCCCGUAGGAUUUUCCCGGGAGCCGAGCAGGUGUUUCUGGCAUUCUCGGCAGGAGGUUCGGGCAUGUACGGCAGGUGGGUCCAGUCUGUCCAGGAUGUGGUUCCGGCGUGUCUGGCACGUGGUUCUGGUAUGUCUCAGAGGUGGUUCCGGCAUGCCCGGCCGGUGAUCCAGGAGAGUCCACCAAGUGAUUCUGGUGUAGCCGGCAGGUGAUUUUGGCGUGUCCAGCAGGUGGUUCCGGCAUACACGGCAGGUGGUUCCGGCGUGUCCGGCACAUGGUUCUGGCACGUCUGAGAGGUGGUUCCGGCAUGCCCGGCAGGUGAUCCCGGAGAGUCCUCCAAGUGGUUCUGGCAUACCCCGCAGGUGUUUCUGGUGUGUCCGGCAGGUGGCUCUGGUGAGUCGAGCAGGUGGUUCCGGCGUGCUCGGCAGGUGGUUCCGGCAGGUCCGGCAGGUGGUUUCGGUCUGUUGGGGUGUGCUUCCGGCAUCUCAGGCACAUGGUUCUGGCACAUCUGAGAGGUGGUUCCGGCCGGCCCGACAGGUGUUUCCGGAGUGUACGCCAAGUGGUUCUGGCGUAGCUGACAGGUGAUGUGGGCGUGACCAGCAGGUGGUUCCAGCCAGCCCGGCAGGUGAUUCCGAAGUGUUCACCAACUGGUUGUGGCGUAGCCGGCAGGUGAUUUUGGCGUGUCUGUCAGGUGGUUCUGGCGAGUCGGGCAGGUGGUUCUGGCGUGCUCGGCAGGUUCUUCCAGUGUCAUUGGCAUGUGGUUCUGGCAUGUCUGAGAGGUGGUUCCGGCAUGCCCGGAAGGUGAUUCGGGAUUGUUCACAGAGUGGUUCUGGCAUAGCCGGCAGCUGAUUUUGCUUGUCCUGCGGGGGUUCCUGCGAAUCGAGCCGGUGGUUCCGGCGUAUCCGGCAGGUGGUUCUGGUCUGUCGUGGAGGUGUUUCCGGAGUGUCUGCCGUGUGGUUCUGGCAUAGCCGACAGGUGAUUUUGGCAUGUCCCGCAGGCGGUUCUGUGGAGUGGAGCAGGUGGUUCUGGCAUACUCGGCAGGUGGUCCCGGCGUGUCCGGAACAUGGUUCUGGCAAGUCUGAGAGGUGGUUCCGGCAUGCCCGGCAGGUGAUUCCGGAGUGUUCGCCAAGUGGUUCUGGCGUAGCCGGCAGGUGAUUUUGCAUGUCCGGCGGUGGUUCCGGCGAGUCGAGCAGGUGGCUCCGGCGUGCUCAGCAGGUGGUUCCGGUCUGUCCGGUAGGUGUUUCCGGCGUGUCCGGCACGUGCUUCCAGCACGUCUGAGAGGUGGUUCCGCCGUGCGCGGCAGGUGAUUCUGGAGUGUCCGCCAGGUGGUUCUGGCGUACACGGCAGGUGAUUUUGGCGUGUCCGACAGGUGUUUCUGGUGAGUCAAGCAGGUGGAUCCGGCAUGCUCGGCAGGUGCUUCCGGUGUCUCCGGCACGUGGUUCUGGUGUGUCUGAGAGCUGGUUCCGCCAUGUCCGGCACAUGAUUCCGGAGUGUCCGCCAAGUGGUUCUGGUGGAGCUGGCAGGUGAUUUUGGCAGGUCCAGCAGGCGGGUCCUGCGUGUCGAGCAGGUGGUUCCUGCAUGCUCGGCAAGUGGUUCCGGCGUGUCCGGCAGGUGCUUCUGGUCUGUCUGGGAGCUGGUUCCGGCAUGGCUGGCAUGUUGUUCUGGCACGUCUGUGAGGUGCUUCGGGCGUGCCCGGCAGGUGAUCCCUGGGUGUCCGCCAAGUGGUUCUGGGGUCACAGGCAGGUUAUUUUGGUGUGUCCGGGAGAUCUUUCCUGCUUUUUGGGCUCGUGGCUCUGGCUUGUAAGACAGGUGCUUGUGGCAUUUCUGGCCCCCGUUCUUACAUACUCCUCAGCUGGUUUCAGUGUUUCUGGCACAUGUUUGCGGCAUAUCCAACAGGUGUUUACAAUGUGUCUGGCAUGUCGUUGUGCUGUGUUUGGAAUCAGGUUCUGUCAUGUCAUUGUGUGCGGCUGGCAUGUUGAAGAGAUGGUUCUGCAGUCUCAGAAUCGUUGUUCCACUGUGUCCGGCAGGUGGUUACAGGUGGUUCUGGCAUGCAACGUGGGUGCUUCUGGUAUGCCUGUUGGGUCGUACAGGCAUGAAUGUGUGGCUUUUUGAGAGUGUGCGGAGAGUGUUUUUGGCAUGUCUCCCGGGGUUUUCUGGCACAUAAAGGGCAUGAUUCCUUUUUAUACGUCAGGUGAGUUUGUUCUCAGCUUCCUAAAGAGAUGGAAGAAAGAUGGUCUGUGGCUUGUGGCCCCUUGAGGGGUGGAGCCAAUGCAUUGUGCAUUCCACGUCUAGAGCAAUGGAGGGCAUGGUUGAGAGCAAAAGGGUCUUUCUGACAUAGCUGCAUUCUGACACUCUCUCCACCAGUGCACAAUGGUGGUUGGAAAAAGGUUUACAGUCUAUCGCCUCCUGAGCAGGUGGAUGCUAAAUCAUUUGGGACUCAGCCCAGUUGCUUCAGGGGAAGAUGUAGGCAUUUCAUCUGGGCAAGGUUGGCAAGGUAGAAUUGCGGCAGAGGCAGAAGUCCUAAAGCGGCAAGUUAAGUGCUGGGAAGAAAUGGCGUUUGAGCUGACAUUGUAUGAGAGUUUCCUCGUAUGCUGUAACAGCACUGUGGAAAGCGAGAUCUUUCUCAGAUUCCUAAAGAACUGGAGACAAGACAGUUUAUGGCUUGUCUCCCAUUGAAGGAAAGAGGCAGUUCUUUGUGCCUUCCACCUCUACAGCAAUGGAGGGCAUGGCUGAGAGCCAAGGGGACAUUCUGCCAUUGGUGCUUUCUGAUACCCUUCAGGGGUGGUGCCAGUGCCUUGUGCCUCCUACCUCUAGAGGAAUGGAGGGCACGACUGAGAGUAAAGGGACUUUCUGACAUUGGUGGUUUCUGACACUCCCCCAACCAGUGCUCAAGGGCGGUAGGCUAAAAGCCUAUUGUCUGUCUCCUCCUCAGCAUGUGGAACCCCAAUCAUCCGGGCCUCGUCCCCAUUGCUCAAGGGGCAGAUGUAGGCAUUUCGUCUGAGCCGCGUGGGCAAGGUGGAAAUGCGGCAGAAGCGGAUGUUGCAGAUUGGCGAGUUAAGGGCUGAAAAGACACGGUGUUCAGCUGCCUUUGUAUGAGAUGUUCUCAGGACACUGUAAGAAGACUGUGGAAAGCGAGUGCUUUCCCAGCUUCCUACAGAGCUGGAAGGAGGACAGUUUAUGGCUUGUCUCCAAUAGAAGGAUGGAGACAGUGCUUUGUGCCUUCCACCUCUGGAGCAAUGGAGGGCAUGGCUGAGAGCAAAGGGCCCUUUCUGACAUAGGUGCGCUCUGACACUCUCUGCACCAGUGCACAAUGGCGGUUUGUAAAAAGCCUAUUGUCUGCUCCUGCUAAGCAUGUGGAAGCAGAAUCAUCUGGGCCUCGUGCCCGUUGCUGAAGGGGAAGAUGUAGGCAUUUCGUCUGAGCCAGGUUGCCAAGGUGGAAAUGUGCAGGAUGCAGAAGUCCCAGACUGGGGAGUGAAGUGAUGAAGGAAACGGUGUUCAGCCUCCUUUGUAUGAGAUGUUCCCAGGACGCUGUAAGGGCACUGUGGAAAGGGAGUUUUUUCUCAGCUUCCUACAGAGCUAGAAGCAGGACAAGAUGUUGUUUGUCUCCUAUUGAGGGGUGGAUCCAGAGCCAGUGCCUUGUGCCUUCCACCUGUAGAGCAAUGAAGGGCACGGCUGUGAGCAAAGGGGCCUUUCUGACAUAGCUUCUUUACGAAAAUCUCUCCAGCAGUGCACAUUGGUGGUUGGAAAAAGGCGUGCAGUCUAUCGCCUCCUAAGCACGUGGACGCUCAAUCAUUUGGGACACAGCCCAGUUGCUUCAGUGGAAGAUGUAGGCAUUUCGUCUGAGCCGGAUUGGCAAGGUGGAAUUGCGGCAGAAGCAGAAGUCCUAAAGCUGCAAGUUAAGCACUGGGAAGAAAUGGCGUUUGAGCUGCCUUUGUAUGAGAGGUUCCUGGUAUGCUGUAAGGGGACUGUGGAAAGCGAGUUGUUCGUCAGCUUCCUAAAGAGCUGGAGGCAAGACAGUUUAUGGCUUGUUUCGCAUUGAAGGAUUGAGGCAGUCCUUUGUGCCUUCCAGCUCUAGAGCAAUGGAGGGCACGGCUGAGAGUAAAGGGGUCUUUCUGCCAUUGGUGCUUUCUGACACUCUCUCAACCAUUGCACUUGGUGGUUAGUUAAGAGCCUACUGUCUCUCUCCUCCUCAGCAUGUGGAACCACAAUCAUCCAGGCCUCGUCCCCAUUGCUCAAGGGGAAUCUGUAGGCAUUUCGUCUGAGCCGGGUUGGCAAGGUGGAAUUGUGGCAGAAGCAGAAGUUCUAAAGUGGCGAGGUAAGGCCUGGCAAGAAAGGCCGUUUGACCUUCAUUUCUAUGACAGUUUCCCCAUAGGUUUUUCCCGGGAGCCGAGCAGGUGUUUCUGGCAUUCUCGGCAGGAGGUUCGUGCAUGUCCCGCCGGUGGCUCCAGUCUGUCCAGGAUGUGGUUCCGGCGUGUCUGGCACGUGCUUCUGGUACGUCUCAGAGGUGGUUCCGGCAUGCCCGGCCGGUGAUCCCGGAGAGUCCUCCAAGUGAUUCUGGCAUUACCGGCAGGUGAUUUUGGCGUGUUCGGCUGGUGGUUCCAGCCUGGUCGGCAGGUGGUUCUGGCGUGUCCGGCACUUGGUUCUGGCACGUCUGAGACAUGGUUUCGGCAUGCCCACCAGGUGAUCCCGGAGAGUCCGACAAGUGGUUCAGGCCUAGCAGGCAGGUGAUUUUGGCGUGUCCGGUAGGUGGUUCUGGCGAGUCAAGCAGGUGGUUCUGGCAUGCUCGGCUGGUGGUUCAGUCGGGUCCGGCAGGUCAUUCCUGUCUCUCCGUGAGGUGGUUCUGGUGUGUCUGGCACGUGGCUGCGGCACAUCUGAGAGUUGGUUCCGGCAUGCCCAGCAGGUGAUUGCAGAGAGUCCGCCAAGUGGUACUGGUGUGGCUGGCAUGUGAUGUGGGCGUGUCUGGCAGGUGGUUCUGGGGAGUGGAUCAGGUGCUUCCGGUAUACUAGGCAUGUGGUUCUGGUCUUUAUGGCACAUGAUUCUGGCACGUCUGAGAGGUUGUGCCGGCAUGCCCUUCACGUGAUUCCAGUUUGUCCCCCAAGUGGUGCUGGUGUAGCAGGCAGGUGAUUUUGGUGUGCCUGGCAGGUGGGACCGGUGAGUCAAGUAGGCGGUUCCGGCGAGUGUUUCCUGUGGUUCCUGUCUGUCCCGGAGAUGGUUCCGGCCUGUCCGGCACGUGCUUCUGUCACUUCUGAGAGGUUGUGCUGGCAUGCCCGGCAGGUGAUUCUGGAGUGUCCGCCAAGUGGUUCUGGCGUAGCCGGCAGGUGAUUUUGGCGUGUCCGGCUGGUGGUUCUGUGGAGUGGAUAAGCAACUUCCGGCAUUCUCGGCAGGUGCUUCCGCCGUCUCCAGCAUGUAGUUGUGGCACCUCUGAGAGGUGGUUCCAGCAUGCCCGACAUGUGAUUCGGAGUGUCCGACAAGUGGUUGUGGCAUAGCCGGCUGCUGAUUUUGGCGUGUCCGGCAGGUGGUUCUGGCAAGUCAAGCAGGUCGUCCCGGCGUGUCCGGCAGGUGAUUCCGGUCUCUCCUGGAGGUGGUUGCGGAGUGUCUGCCGAGUGGUUCUGGCGUAGCCGACAGGUGAUUUUGGCGUGUCCAGCAGGUGGUUCUGGGGAGUGGAUAAGGUGGUUCCGGCAUACUCGGCAGGUGGUACUGGCAUGUCCGGAACAUGGUUCUGGCAAGUCUGAGAGGUGGUUCCGGCAUGCCCGACAGGUGAUUCUGGAGUGUCCGGGAUGUGGUUCUGGCACCUCUGAGAGGUGGUUCCGGCAUGCCCGAUAGGUGAUUCCGGAGUGUCCACCGAGUGGUUCUGGCUUACCUGGCAGGUGAUUUUGGCGUGUCCGGCAGGUGUUUCUUGCGAGACGAGCAGGUAGCUCAGGCAUGCGCAGCAGGUGCUUCCAGCAUGUCCGGCACGUGAUUCUGGUGUGUCUGAGAACUGGUUCUGGCAUGUCCGGCAGAUGAUUCCGGAGUGUCCACCAAGUGGUUCAGGCAUACCCGGCAGCUGAUUUUGGUGUGUCAGGCAGGUGGGACCGGUGAGUCAAGCAGGUGGUUCCGGCGAGUGUUUCCCGUGGUUCCGGUCUGUCCGGGAGAUGGUUCCAGCUUGUCCGGCACGUGCUUCUGGCACUUCUGAGAGGUUGUGCUGGCAUGCCCGGCAGGUGAUUCCGGAGUGUCCGACAAGUGGUUGUGGCGUAGCCGGCUGGUGAUUUUGGCGUGUCCGGCAGGUGGUUCUGGCGAGUCAAGCAGGAGGUCCCAGCGUGUCCGGAAGGUGGUUCCGGUAUGUCCUGGAGGUGGUUGCGGAGUGCUCGGCAGGUCCUUCCGGUGUCAUUGGCAUGUGGUUCUGGCAUGUCUGAGAGGUGGUUCCGGCAUGCCCGGCAGGUGAUUCCGGAGUGUUUGCCAAGUCGUUCUGGCAUAGCCGGCAGGUGAUUUUGGCGUGUCAGGUAGUUGGUUCCGGCGAGUCGUGCAGGUGGUCCCGGCGUGCUCGGCAGGUGGUUCAGGCGGGUGUGGCAGGUGGCUUCGGUCUGUUCGGGGUGUGGUUCCGGCAUCUCAGGCACAUGGUUCUGGCACGUCUGAGAGGUGGUUCCGGCCGGCCCGACAGGUGUUUCCGGAGUGUCCGCCAAGUGGUUCUGGCGGAGCUGACAGGUGAUGUGGGCGUGACCGGCAGGUGGUUCCAGCCAGCCCGGCUGGUGAUUCCGAAGUGUCCACCAACUGGUUGUGGUGUAGCCGGCAAGUGAUUUUGGCAUGUCCGGCAGCUGGUUCUGGGGAGUCGUGCAGGUGGUUCCGGCCGGCCUGACAGGUGUUUCUGGAGUGUCCGCCAAUUGGUUCUGGCGUAGCUGGCAGGUGAUUUUG